CCAGGAUUAGAACCAAAGUCCUUGGGCCUCCCAGGCCCGUGCCCUAUCCGCUAGACCACGCCGCUGCUCUGCGUAGGAAGACCCGGCGGCAUUUGGCAGAAAAGCGAACGGACCUUCGGAUGACCGACCCCGCCACCGCCGAUCACCGCCUCCCUCUCCCCGACACCCUGAACGGUGAUGGAGCCGCGAAGGGCGCCAUCGAGCCGGUACGACUGGGCUGGCCGCAGCCAGAAAGCCGGGCCUCGGAGAUGGAACCGGAAAGCCAGACUGCGGCCCGAGACGAAAUCGGAGAGGAAGAAGAAGAGCGAGCCAGGGCCGUGGAACCGUGUGACCGGACCAGAGAUCACAGAGGCGGCAGCUGAAAAGGGAAGCGCUCCGAAGGCAGGUACCGUGUAACGAGGUGCAUCUAUCUACCCUGCGGCCGAGGUUCCCGUUAAAGGAAGAAAUCACCGGAGAGAGCACAGGAGACUCCGGGCUCUCCCAGGUAGGCCUCUCUUGCUGACAUCUAUACUCCAGCAAGAAAUCGGCGGUAUGUACUAAACGGGUACUCGGUGCAGAAUGCCGUACUAAGCGCUUGGGAGAGUACACGGUCCCCGACCUCAACCAGAGGAGAGAGAUGGCCACUAAAAUAGAUCGCGGGUGGGGGAACGGAGACAGUGUAAAGAUCCGUUUGAGUAAGCGUGGGGGCGGCGGGGGGAGGUCCCCUCUCUCGCCCCGGCGCAGGGCGGCCCGGUCAGACCGCCUCGGGCCGGUGGCGGGAGAGUCCGUCGAGCAUGUUCAAGGGCAGAGGGAACACGAUGGUGGAGUUCUUCUCGGCCGCCACGCUGUUGAGGGUCUGCAGGAAGCGCAGCUGCAGAGCCACGGGAGACUGACAGAGCACCACCGAGGCCGACCGCAGGGCCUGCGACGCGUUCAUCUCCCCUUCCGCCGCCACGACCUGCCAUCGCACGGGGAGCAGAGGUCUGCACGCGCCCGGCCCCUCCCACCCUGGCGGCCGGGAAGAGUCGGUGGUGAGAUCAGACUGGCCGCCGGGCUCCAGCGGCCCGCCCCGAAGCCAGAUUUCUGCCCUCUGCUCGGCUCUGGCUUCCUCUGUUUGUGUCCACCCAAGCGCUUAGUACAGUGCCUGGCACACAGUAAGCGCUUAAUGAAUACCAUGAUUAUUAAUUACUAUUCUACCAGCGGUUUUAGGGGCCCGGUGCUCGUAGCGCCCAUUGUGCUGUAACUGCGGGACUCGGCCCCAACCCUGCAAGGGGGCAGAGGAAGCCCUCAAGAAGUCAAAAGAGAUCCCCCGUUUGUAUCCAAUCCAGUGCUCGGCACAUAGUUGGCGCUUGACAGAUACACCGAUGUCCUUCGUAUGCUGAGACACCACUGAUGGUAACGGUCACCUAGGAGGGGGUGUGUGGAUGGAAAGACCAAUGUGGGACGCUCGGUCCUGGCCCCAAAGGCGCACGUGAACGUGCCGUCUCUUGUGUUGUUGUACGGGUGUAGCGUCUGGCUCUGUUUUCUCUUUUGCCUCCUCCGUUGAACCGACACCCACCCCGUCAGUACCAGGUCUAGGACAGCAUCUCCUCCCGCUUUGGCCUCGAAACUCUGCUCCCUUGGCGAGGACGAGGGGAAAGGGGACGUGCGCGGGGGCCGCCGACAUCCGGCAGUUCGGGGUCGGCCGACUCCGGACGGGGGUGCCCACUCGGGGUUGCCGUCGGCACAACCCUCUCCCAGCCCAGGGGGUGAGUUGUCCCGGGAGGGGUGGCCCACGGGUCUCCUCCGCCCCCAGGUGCCGGUUCUUACCCUGGCCCGGGCUUCCCGCGUGGCUUCCGCCUCGGCCGCCAUGGACCUCUGCAGCUGCACCGGGAUCCGCACGUCUUUGAUCUCCACCCGGGCCACCAGGAUCCCCCACGCCUCGGUGGCGUCACGGAGCAUGGCCUGUUUGCCGGAGAGAGAGGCGGCCCCGCGGGGCCCCGUGGUCACCCGAGGGACUCGCCCGAGGUCCCGGGGCGGACAAAAGGACCAGAUCGGGAAACCAGCUGCCGCGUUUCUCUCGGUUUGAGCUACAGGUCCAGCUCGGAGCCCCGAGGUGGAUGAACAUCAGACUCCCCCCCCGGCCCCCAACGGUGAUCUGUCACUGGAACCCUGGAUUAGACGACAGCUCAACAGCCCCCAUGGUAAGAUUCUAUUUCAGGGACGGACAGGCGGACGGAUGGCGGAAGAACGGUCCCCCGCGGCUUCACCUGGAUGUUACGGGCGAUAUCUUCUCGACCGGCUAAAAUCUGGGACAAGGUCUGCGUCCCCAGGACGUUCCUUAACGUGGUCUGCGCCAGCAGGAAGGUGGCUUGGUGAACGUCGGUGACGUUGGCCACGGCGGAGAUGGCGCUGUGGAUUCGGUAGUAAACCACACCAUCCACCUGGGUGGUGACCGAGUCUCUGGUCAGGAUCUGCCAAAGAUGAGGAGGGGUGUGGAGAGAGAGAGAACAUACUGCACAUUCAGGUAUCCAUCCAAUGCUUGCCAUUUCACAGCUGCCGCUUGUAGGGGAUAAACGUGCUUUCCUUUAUGAUUGCUUUAGGAUUCUCCUGAUCUGUUCUGGGGGCUGAAACUGGAUCCGAGUGUGCGUGCCUUCUUCCUCUCCCUCCCCAGGGGAAAGGAGCUGCGCCAGAACCCACACCUCGGAGCCGGGGAACGAAACCACCCCGGGGCUGGGAGCAGUGAUGAGGAUGAAUUCUGUGUCUGGGAGCCUGGCUUGCUGCCAGAGACAGGAAAGCCUUUCUACUUUCUGUUAAGCCUCCCUCGUCCUCAGGGUGCAGCUCAGCUUCCCCAAAUUGAUUUCUUCUGAAAACUCUAGGGGCAUUCCUGCUGAGACGCCCAGGAGGGGACAGAGCAGCAGCCUGAGGCAGAGUGCGUGCGGUUGGGUGGGGGUGAGGCGGCGGGACGACAGGUAACAGCUUACAAGAGGGAGUCCAGGGGAUGGUUCCUACAGUUUUUUUGACUGGAAUGAGUGCAGGUUCGCUCCUUAGUUCCCCAGCGCUAUCCCCCAGGCUCACCUCCUGCGGGGGAAUGUUGCAGGUGACGGUCCGCAGAUCAACUCUGACAAAAACAUCCGUGCACGGUAAGACGAGGAUCAAACCUGCCAGAGAGAGGACGGGGGAGAUUUUCCUUGCGUGAUCGACGGUGCUCACCGGACGAGAACCAGCCUGAUCCUUCCACCGUACACAGACCCUCUGACCUUUUUAGUUUCUCCCAGCAGGGACCGUGGCCCUGGGCCGGGAGCCCUCGCUCCCUUCGAAUCAGGAGGUCAGACGGGGCCCUCGCCCCGCGAUUCCUUACCCGGUCCUUUGGCUUUUCUCGUCUGGAUGCGCCCCAGCCGAAAUACGACAGCACGUUCGUACUCCUUCACGAUCUAGGAGGAAGAGGGAGAGAGAGUCGGGGAGGGAGUCUGGUGGCCUUCCGUCUCCGGGCUGGACUUCCCGAUCCCUUCCCCUCCGGAUUACCUUCAGGCACAUCCAUAUGGAGACGGGAAAGGUGACGAGCACCAACAGGAAGGCAAGGGAAAUCAGGAACCAGCCGCAAACGCUGAAACCCUUGGCGUUGGUCCCUGUGAAACGAGACGGGAGGGCCGGUUGCCGUCGCUUCGGCUUCACCGACCUGAGGCCGUCGCUUCGGCCCGAGGGCCCCGGACGGAGGGAGAGCGGAUCUGGCGGAAAGUGGCUCUCGGUAGGGGACUGCUGGAUCGGGAAGACGGUUUUCUUCUCAGACCCGGCCCCUCCCUCACCUCUGAAGCAAUCCCAGCGUCGCAGCAUCCUCCCCUCAAGCAACCCGUGACAUUUACUGAGCGCCUGCUGUGUGCGGGAGACAGCAGUAGGCACUUGAGAGUUUACAACGGCGUCGAGGGAUACAGUCCCUUUCUCAAAGAGCUUACGGUCUGGCGGGAGGAAGCAGACACUUCAAUAAGUUAUAGCAUUGGUAUACGUGCGGCGGGGGGCAGGGGCGGACGUAAGGCAGAAGGAUUCUUUUCCAUCUAAUUUCCAUUCACCUCCUGGAGCUAAGUGGACAAGCUUGGCGGACCUGUGGUUGAAAGGAAAGCCUCUUUAUGAUCUUAACGUGGAAAAGCAGCAUGGCCUAGAGGCUAGACCCCGGGCCUGGGAGGCAGAUCCCCCAUCUGCCACUUGU